rnacentral:piRNA from 1 species
GGCCUGAACCCUCUGCAUGAAGGAGGAGA